rnacentral:lncRNA from 1 species
CUUUUUCUGCAGGGAGUUGGUGUCGCCGACUCCGGCGGGAGGGUCAGUUUGGCUGCUUGGAACCUGAGCGGUCGGCGGGAAAGCCCAGCGUGCGCAGAGCCAGAGUGGAUCUUGGAUUCGCCCUCUCGGAGGGAGGCUCGUCUGUUCGGUCUCCAGCUUCGGAUCCCUGGACCCUUUUGGCUGGCACCUCUUGUAGUCUCAGAUUACCUUGGAUGAUGGCCUGCAUCUGACAGUCCCUCGGCUCUUCUCAACUCUCCUGAGGCGGCAGCUAGCAGCUUCUCUGAUCCUCAGCACUUGCCUGGAACGACCAGGUCUGCCACACCCUAUCCAGCUGAUUCCUGUCCUGGUGUGUUGUGUGCCACCUUUGUCCACACUGCCUAUUGUGCAACAGGCUUUUCCUCCC